rnacentral:lncRNA from 1 species
AGCUAGUCAAAGGUGACUAAUUCAUGUGGAUAGAAAAAUAAUACAUGCCAAAAGAAAUUUGAGGAACAAAUUCAGCCCUGAGACAGGUCACGGAAACAGCCCUCCAGUCUUCCUCAAGAAAUGUAGACUGAAUCAGCAUUUACCCACCCCUGGAAAAACGCAGGAGCUGCGCAUUCCUGGGAUCUCAGCAGGGCUUUUGGGAAGAGCAGAACUGGGCUGGAGUCACGGUUUCUGGGCUGACUCUAGAUUUUCCCCGGCUUUUGCCACCUGUGAUGGCUGGAGAGUAUCUGAAGAUGACAGACCCCCUACUCCCAGUGACACAAGAUGGUUGGACCCACGGCUGAUUUACU